UGGGGAAUAUUGCACAAUGGGCGCAAGCCUGAUGCAGCCAUGCCGCGUGUAUGAAGAAGGCCUUCGGGUUGUAAAGUACUUUCAGCGGGGAGGAAGGGAGUAAAGUUAAUACCUUUGCUCAUUGACGUUACCCGCAGAAGAAGCACCGGCUAACUCCGUGCCAGCAGCCGCGGUAAUACGGAGGGUGCAAGCGUUAAUCGGAAUUACUGGGCGUAAAGCGCACGCAGGCGGUUUGUUAAGUCAGAUGGGAAAUCCCCGGGCUCAACCUGGGAACUGCAUCUGAUACUGGCAAGCUUGAGUCUCGUAGAGGGGGGUAGAAUUCCAGGUGUAGCGGUGAAAUGCGUAGAGAUCUGGAGGAAUACCGGUGGCGAAGGCGGCCCCCUGGACGAAGACUGACGCUCAGGUGCGAAAGCGUGGGGAGCAAACA
rnacentral:rRNA from 1 species